GUGGCUGGGGCACCCUGGCGCCAUCUUUUUCCAGCGCGCGAAGGCAGGAGCCCGAGACUGGGCCUGCUCAAGGUGGUGUUCGUGGUCUUCGCCUCCUUGUGUGCCUGGUAUUCGGGGUACCUGCUCGCAGAGCUCAUUCCAGAUGCACCCCUGUCCAGUGCUGCCUAUAGCAUCCGCAGCCUCGGGGAGAGGCCUGUCCUCAAAGCUCCAGUCCCCAAAAGGCAAAAAUGUGACCACUGGACUCCCUGCCCAUCUGACACCUAUGCCUACAGGUUACUCAGCGGAGGUGGCAGAAGCAAGUACGCCAAAAUCUGCUUUGAGGAUAACCUGCUUAUGGGAGAACAGCUGGGAAAUGUUGCCAGAGGAAUAAACAUUGCCAUUGUCAACUAUGUAACUGGGAAUGUGACAGCAACACGAUGUUUUGAUAUGUAUGAAGGCGGUAAGAAAAUUUUUUCUGUUAAAAUUCAAAUGAAUUUUAAACAGAAAAUUAAGAUUAAAAAACACAAAGAAAAAUAUCAACCAUUUUUAUUUUGUCUACUAGAAAAACGCCAGCAGCUCUCCUGAGUAAUCUAGAGUGGUCUUAUGUAGAUCCUCUUAAACUCUAAUUGAAUUCAUAGAACAUUUGAAGGCAUCAUCUAGAAAUGUCUUUUCUUCUGUUAGUUUUCCUCAGUCUUUCUCUUUUUAGCUCUCAUGAUAUAAUAAGAAAGAGAAAAAGCCUUUUUUUUAAAAAAAAAAAAAAGCCAAAUACAUUAUAUGUAAAAUAAAGCCACCAGCAUCCAGCCCUAAAUAUCAUCAUCCUUUGAAAGCUGUCACGAUUACUCCUGGUGACUCACAGUGCUCUGCUGGGCUCAGGGCAAGCAUUCCCGGAACCCACGGGUGCCCAGUCUUUCUCGAUGGUCUCUCCUUUCUAGGCACUGACUCUUGACUGCAGUUGUUGGCCAGGAUAUACUAUCCCCUCUUAUUUUUAUAUAUCAAUGAGACUUUCAAAAACAAGUUUUUAUAAAGAUAGUGAAGACGAAGAAUAGAAAACGCCUGCACCCACCCAAUAAGAA
rnacentral:sRNA from 1 species